UACGUAGGGUGCAAGCGUUGUCCGGAAUCAUUGGGCGUAAAGAGCGUGUAGGCGGCCCGAUUAGUCCGCUGUGAAAGUCCAGGGCUCAACCCUGGAAUGCCGGUGGAUACUGUCGGGCUAGAGUCCGGAAGGGGCGAGUGGAAUUCCUGGUGUAGCGGUGAAAUGCGCAGAUAUCAGGAGGAACACCGGUGGCGAAGGCGGGAUCCUGGGCCAGUACUGACGCUGAGGAGCGAAAGCGUGGGGAGCAAACAGG
rnacentral:rRNA from 1 species